GGCGGCCGGGCGCCGCGGAGCGGGCUGCUGGAAGUUUUGGUGCGGGAUCGCUGGCACAAAGUUCUGGUGAACUUGAGCGAGGACGCCCUGGUUCUGAGCUGCGAGGAGGGCGCCGCGGCGUACAACGGCAUCGGGACCGCCACCAAUGGCUCGUUCUGCAGGGGCGCCGGCGGCGCGCAGCCCCCGGACUCGCCCGCGGGGGUCCGCACCGCCUUCACCGACCUGCCGGAGCAGGUGCCCGAGUCCAUCUCCAACCAGAAGCGCGGCGUGAAGGUGCUGAAGCAGGAACUGGGCGGGCUGGGCAUCAGCAUCAAGGGGGGCAAGGAGAACAAGAUGCCCAUCCUCAUCAGCAAGAUCUUCAAGGGGCUGGCGGCGGAUCAGACUCAAGCCCUGUAUGUGGGCGACGCCAUCCUGUCGGUGAACGGGGCCGACCUGCGGGACGCCACCCACGACGAGGCGGUGCAGGCGCUGAAGCGCGCCGGCAAGGAGGUGCUGCUGGAAGGUAAGGGGUUAACGCCGCGCGGGCCGCGCACACACCCCCUCACCCUCCCACCACACCCGCACGCUCCCCCACGUGCCGGCACAGCCCAAGGGCCCGGCGUGGGGGGUGGUGGCGGGGAGUCUGGACAACUUUAA